rnacentral:rRNA from 1 species
CCUACGGGUGGCAGCAGUAGGGAAUCUUCCACAAUGGGCGAAAGCCUGAUGGAGCAAUGCCGCGUGGGUGAAGAAGGCCUUCGGAUCGUAAAACCCUGUUGUAAGAGAAGAAAGUUCGUGAGAGUAACUGUUCACGUUUCGAUGGUAUCUAACCAGAAAGCCACGGCUAACUACGUGCCAGCAGCCGCGGUAAUACGUAGGUGGCAAGCGUUAUCCGGAAUUAUUGGGCGUAAAGGGUACGCAGGCGGGAAUUUAAGUCUGAAGGUAAAGCCUUCGGCUUAACCGGAGUAGAGCAUUGGAAACUGGGGGACUGGAGUGCAGGAGAGGAGAGUGGAACUCCAUGUGUAGCGGUAAAAUGCGUAGAUAUAUGGAGGAACACCAGUGGCGAAAGCGGCUCUCUGGUCUGUAACUGACGCUGAGGUUCGAAAGCGUGGGUAGCAAACAGGAUUAGAUACCCUUGUAGUC